ACGACACUAACAAUCCUUCGGGUGCGUUAAUGGGCGUCGAGCGGCGGACGGGUGAGUAAUGCCUAGGAAAUUGCCUUGAUGUGGGGGAUAACCAUUGGAAACGAUGGCUAAUACCGCAUAAUGCCUACGGGCCAAAGAGGGGGACCUUCGGGCCUCUCGCGUCMAGAAUWUGGCCUAGGUGGGAUUAGCUAGUUGGUGAGGUAAUGGCUCACCAAGGCGACGAUCCCUAGCUGGUCUGAGAGGAUGAUCAGCCACACUGGAACUGAGACACGGUCCAGACUCCUACGGGAGGCAGCAGUGGGGAAUAUUGCACAAUGGGCGAAAGCCUGAUGCAGCCAUGCCGCGUGUAUGAAGAAGGCCUUCGGGUUGUAAAGUACUUUCAGUUGUGAGGA
rnacentral:rRNA from 1 species